GGGGAUGACGUCAAAUCAUCAUGCCCCUUAUGUUCUGGGCUACACACGUGCUACAAUGGCCGGUACAGACGGACGCAAAGCCGCGAGGUGGAGCAAAUCCUAAAAAGCCGGUCUCAGUUCGGAUUGCAGGCUGCAAUUCGCCUGCAUGAAGUCGGAAUCGCUAGUAAUCGCAGGUCAGCAUACUGCGGUGAAUACGUUCCCGGGCCUU
rnacentral:rRNA from 1 species